rnacentral:rRNA from 1 species
AACGUAGGAGGCAAGCGUUAUCCGGAUUUACUGGGCGUAAAGGGCGUGCAGGUGGUUUGGUAAGUGGUGCGUGAAAGCGCUCGGCUCAACCGGGCGAGUGCGUGCCAAACUGCCAGACUAGAAACAGGCAGAGGAAAGUGGAAUUCGGGGUGUAGUGGUGAAAUGCGUAGAGAUCCCGAGGAACUCCUGUGGCGAAGGCGACUUUCUGGGCCUGCUUUGACACUCAGACGCGAAAGCAUGGGGAGCGAACGGG